CAUGCUUACGCAUCGAACUGUUGAAUCACAAUCUCUUCAAUCCAAAGCUCAUGUCCAAUGUUUUGCGUCAUGGGCGAAGGUGGAGUUCCUGUGUUGCAUACCCAUGAAAGUGGAAAUCGAUUAUGUUGCUGUUUGAUUUUCGCCUCAUACUUGUUAAGGGUAUGUGGUGAACAUGGAAGCACCUCUUUUGUUCCAAACACGUUGGUUUAACUGUUAUGGCACAUUAGAAGGUCGCUCGUGUUAUGGGAUGCUGAAAACGUGUUGUAGCUCAGAGGGAUCGAAUCCCUCCAUUGCUCAAAAUGUCCCUAAUAUAUGAACGACGCACAAUGCUUGUUUCUAUUCCUCGAACAUGCUACAAUGUUGGUGUGUUGGGGGAUUGAAGCGGGUGUUGAGCUCGUGAAGGAACGC
rnacentral:misc_RNA from 1 species